rnacentral:lncRNA from 1 species
GGAAUAUUGGACUCAUAGCUUUCCAGGGGAGCAGGAUACAGCCCCUGGGACAACUGGCUCAGUCCAGCAGUAAGGUGCAGCAGGACCUGAAGCAUGCCCAGGGAAAAGUGGUUCCCAUAGCAACUGAAAGUCUUGAGCUGGGUGCAGCGGCUCAGGGCAGGCAAGAUGGCAAGGAGCUGGGAGUCUGUGAUGUCACAGUGUUCUAGGACCAGGGUCUCCAGGGUGCUGGCCACAUUGUCUAUCAAUCCCUGGAGAGUCUCAGGUUUGAAUGAUUUCAUUGAAAUCCUCCUCAGAGUCAAGGACUUGAGCUGGCUUGUGCUUGCACACUGGGACAGAUGCUGCAGAUUUCCAUGCAGGAAGAAGACUUCAUCCAUCUGAAGCUCAUGGAGAUUUUUCAGCUGUGCUAAAUUUGAGGCAUAGAUGCGGGAAUACCACUUCCUUUUCCAGGGUGCAGUACACACUUCUGGACUCAGGCUUCUGAAGUGAAAUGUGUGAAGGUUUUUCAUCUUCCUUAGCUGAGGAACAAAUGCUUUCAUUCUCUCUGGACCCCAGUAACUAAGCACCUCCACCUCACGGAUAGAAUCCAGUUGCACAGCUUGCAGAAGCUUCAGGAUUUUGAAGACAGCACUGGAGUUGAUCAUCACCUUCUCACAGUGCAGGUGCACUGAAGCUUUUCUCCUUCGGGCCCACUUCAAGAGGCAGAGCUGUAACUGAUCAUUGGUGGCACAAAACAGACUCCAGGCUUCAAAACAAAGGUUUGCGAAUAUUCUCAAGGUUGGGUUCUCCUCACUUAACCCAGGCCUGUCCAGUUCCUUAUCCCUGGCAUCGACUGAGUAGGCAGCACUCACGGCUCUGGGUCCUACAGUCCAGAAGUCCUGGUGUACAUCCCUCCAGUCCAGCACCUGCAGUUUCCACCUGCUGUGUGUAAGACAGAAAGCAACCUCAGAAUUGAGAUAAAGACCCAACUUUCUACCUGUUCUUCUCUUGCAUUUUCUGUACAUCUGCCAUUCCCCUACCUUCCUGCCUUCCCUUUUCU